rnacentral:tRNA from 1 species
UCCCCGGUGGUGUAACGGUAGCACUACAGGUUCUGACCCUGUCGAUCCUGGUUCGAAUCCAGGCUGGGGAU